rnacentral:lncRNA from 1 species
AUUUACGUAUAUACAUAUGUUUCUUGCUUAAUGGUUCAAAAUAAUUCGUGCAGCGUUUAUUUAAGAGUAUAUAUCCUGAGUUACCACUCUUUUUUCAGAUGCCAUUCCCUACUAAUUAUUUGAACCCAAUAAUGCAUUGAAAUAGAUCUGCAAGUGAGGAAAUUGAACCGAUAAUAAUGCAUGAAUGAUGAAGGGGGACUGGGAUGGCAAAGAGACAAGUGGCAAGAGAAAAUACAUGUACAACCAAAUAGUUACU